UUUUUUUUUUUUUUUUUGGUUCUAAGGGGAACUACAAGCCUUAACAUAGGAAAGAAGUAAUAAUAAUAAUAAUAAUAAAAAGGGUAAAAAAACAAAAAAAAAAAUCGUAGUAAACCUAAUAUACAGAAAAAAACUCUCCGUAAUUUCAAAACGUACAACAUGAUACCCGAUACUUUAAACUAAAUUAUAAAGGUGACGGAAUCCUUUAAAUUUAACGGAAAUGGACGAAAUGACCAAAAUGUCCUGAUAUAAUUAAGCAAAAGACAGUUCAAAAAAAUCAUUUGUUUUAUUCUCUAGAUAGACAGAAUUGAGGUUUAAGGGAUAGAACAGGUAUAUUUGUUAAAAAUUAGGUAUAAAAUUUUUUUUUUUAGAUUCCAAUAAGUCAUUUCCGUUAAGUUUAACGGAUUCCGUCAUCUUUAUAAUUUAGUUCAAAACAUAAAAUGUCAUGUUGUACGUUUUGAAAUUACGGGGGGCUUUUCAGUGUAUUAAGUUUACCACAGGAGUUGCAGAUCCGCAACGCAGUAAUCCUGCACUGGACUUGGAUCAGCACAAUCAGAAGGCAUGCAAUAAUGGCACGAGUGACAAAAUUACCAAAGCAGAUAAUAACAUUGUGGGAGGUCAUGCAUGUUUUUAAUUAUUUUGCUAGGGGAGACAACGGGCUGACUUCUUAGUUAAUUGCUAGUAAUAUUUAUACUAAAAGAAGUAGGCUUGCAAGAGAUCAAACAAGGGGAUGUAUUUAAAGGUGAUCUUGGCGGGUGAUCAUUCCAAUAUGAUCGGAAAAAAUGUUCAAGAAGGAGGCUCAUCAUCUGGUUUAGGUGUUAGGCAUUGCUGAGGUUGGUCAGUUUUUGCCCAAAUAUUGAACCUCCUUCUUCUGAUGGAGCCAUAACUAAGGCGGUAUAAGUUCUGAGCUGGUAUACAAAUUAAUCCAGUCAUGUCAUAAUUUUGUUUUAAUUCAUUAAGAUCCAAAAGGGUUCAGGCUAAGCACUUGACUUUGCUGUUAAACAAUGUAUUAGCUUUUCCUAUUAGCUACUUAUCAUUGGGGGACAGUUCGUCAUUUUGCAUCUUUAAACACACAACAGUUUAUAUAUAUAUAUAUACCAAUGACAUAUGCAAUGACAUAUGCAAUGACGCUGUCCACUAAGUACUUUCUGAUGGCUGCAUUUGUUAUUUCUUUUUUACUUUGAGGGAAAAUUCCGUCUAUGUCAUAAGAGAACUUCUCCCUCGAGAGAUUUGCUUUAAAUAAGGACAUGAAAUCAUUUUCAAGCUAUAUUAUUGAUCUGAUCAGCAAAGGAUUCACUAUCACAGCUUUCCACCGUACCGUUUGCCCUCCCGCAACUCCAACAUGUUCAGUUACUAAAAGCCACACCAUUUUUUAUGGAGGAGGGGCUGGAACGGUUGUCUCUGACAACUGUUCCGGAAGGUUCACGGUCAUGAUUAGGCCAGGCUCAGAUCAGAUCACUUCUUGUAACUCAAUUUUCACGCCGUGUGAAACUCACAAAAAUAUUGUUCUAAUGUUACUUAUUUUGUUAUAUUGUUACAUGUUGUACAGAUGAUGUUAUACGGUGUGCAAAUGGUGUUACACCUUUCGGAACGGUUGCUCUGACAACCGUUCCAGCCCGGAUCCAUUUUUUAUCACCUCUGACGUCCUUUACCCUACUACUGAAGGGUCUAAAGAAGACUUAUCGCAAAUUGGUGACAACCUGCAAGAGCAUCAUCAUCUGCUAAUCGUUUGAGCAUGAUCAACAUCGAUUACAAUAAUGAUUGCAUCACCAAUUAUUCUCACCGGACCAGGAUUGAGCUCCCCUCUAAUUAGGCGCAAGGCUUGAAUUUCUUUAAUCCAAAUCUUAUAUAUAUAUGUAUGUGGAUGAGAACGUUGGAAAAAAUAAAUGCUUCACCAGACUCGAUCGGUCUAGUGAGAGGAGAGAAUCUGUCCCUACAAUUAUACUAACCAAGUAAUAUAAGCAAAAUGAGGAAUGAAGGCUUUGAGGCAAACAACCUUGUACCAAGGCACUUGCAAAUAAAAAUAAUCCCCCUUCAAUCAAAGCAUCAUAAGCACCUGUAUGUUAGGAGACUUGUAUGUUUUAUAAAUAAAGAGAUCAAGAAUGAAGAAUUUAAGAUCAUUUCCAAUCCUUGAAUACAAAACUCUAUAAUGAUUCUUUCUUUUUUUUGCAAUAGUAACUACUAGUGUUAUUUCUUAGUUCAUGCUCUAAAUUCUAACCCAAAAAAAAUAACAAAUGAUGGAUUAGAAUGCAAGUGAUUUCUAUGCAGUACUUGAGCAUGUUUGAAUCGACCGUGGACUCUUGAGAGAAAUUAAGAGCCAUAGUCAUAAACUGGCUAAUUUAGUGAUGAAACUAGCAAGUUUGCCAGAUAAAAUUGCUGGCUUCAUUUGGCAGCAAAUUAAAUUCGAGUUUUCUAUUGCUUUUGUUUUUUCUCUAAAGGUUUGCAAGCUGAAGUAAAAUUUGAAGUUUUCUUGUGAUCUUGUCCCAUAUGCUGUCUAAUUUAUUGACUCUCCCCUUUCUAAUAAUUGAGCAUUUGCAAUUGCUUUUGUCAUGUUGGGCUUGGCUGUGUGGCAGCAAUAAUACCAGUAUGACGUAGUAAUUAAAAUAUUAUCUUCUUUUGUCUUCUUGUUGAGAACGGACUAGAAGAAGCUAGACAAAGCAAAUUUCUUGAAUAUUGGUACAAUAAAAUUUAAAAAAAAUGAUUGAGUAGAGGGGGUUUUCUUGUUAGUGGAUUUUUUUUUUUAAUCUGAAAUAGCCUGCAGUGUCUAUUUUAUUUUAUUUUAUUUUAUUUUGGACAAGGUGGGCUGCCUUUGUUUUUUUCAGGUCCCUGCUACACAGCAGAGGCCAGUUUGUAAAUAAGGCGGCCAACUUUUAUUAGUAUUUUUUUAACAGGGCAUGGCGGCCUCCUUUUUUUUUUUUUUUUUCUUUUAAACCCAUAGAAUGAAGCCUUUAGUUCGUUUAGAUAGCAUAGGUUACAAUAAUAUAUCCGAGUUUCUAGGAUAAGGGAACAGUACUCUCCUUGUUUCCUUACUUAUCGGUUGUUUGAAGGUCAAGUUUAUGUCCCCUUCAAUUUCCUACUUUUUUCAAAUUAAUAACAUAACUGGGCUGGCUGCCCAUCUCGUGUACGGGGUUUCGCCAAAAAAAAAAAAAACUCUAAUUUGUCAUGUCAUGGUCUCUGUGUACGUGUUUGCAGUGUUGUUAGACCCGGAUCAAAUCGGUCGGUUUGAUCGGUCCGAUCGUGAAUUGUCCUUUUUUUUGAAUUGAUUUGUAGUACAAAACUGUUUUGGUCAAAAAUUGGUUAAACCAGUGAUCCGAUUUGAUUGGUUGAUCCGAUUCUCAAAAUUUUCUUUCUUUUUUUCUCCAAAUAUAAUUUGAAUUAGUUAAAUUGUAACACUUUCAUUUAUUAAUAAGAAUAAGAAAACGCCGCCCAAUUAGUGUAAAUACCAAAAUCACUCGCUUUCUUGAAUGAUCUCUAAAUCAAGAUGUUUUCGUCCCUAUAAUCUUAUCAAUUUAGCAUCAGUGAUUCCAACUUAUAUUAAUUUAGUUUUCCAAGUAGUUUUGGCGAAUUGACAUAUUUAGCCAUGAAUUUAGAUUUUUAUAUAAAAUUAUUAGGUGUAUAUUUGAUUGCAAGUCUAAUAUUUUUGAAACAUUUUCUAUAAUUGACGUAAUAUAAUCAAGAAUUUAAUUUCAAUAUAAAAUAAUUAUGACAUCAUGCCAAUAUCAACGAAUUUUUUAGAACGAUCCGAUCCAUCCAACCAGUUGACUCUUAAUCUAGCAAUUCAGCCGAAUCGUUAUCCGAUUCGAGUGUUUGGAUAGCAAAAAUAUUUCAAAUUAUAUUUCGCUUGCAUCAUAAACACAUUUCUCAAUCCAUCUUUUUAUAUUUUCAAUUAUCUUUUUAUCUCACAUACAUCACGUCACAAAAAGUUCUACAGUAAUUAUUUCAAAUAAUACACUAUCCAAACAAUUGCAUUUAAUAACGUUGCUGAUUGUGGAUGAUUUAAUAACAAUUUUUCGGCCAACUUGUUAAAGAUUGUUAGCUUUUUUAUGUAUAAAGUGCUUUUCCGUGUUGCAACUUAAUUGGUUUAUCUGCUCUGACCAUAAAAUUUUUAAAGCGGGGUAGCUUUCAUAAAUGUUGUGUAAAAUUAUUCACAAAUAAUGCGGAGUCUCUUUUUCUGCUGUGAUUUGACGUGCGACGUAGGGAAGGAGCAGAAGUUUGGACCACAAAACAUCCAAUCAGUUAGGACACACAGCAGCCCAUGUUGAAAAUUCUACCUCCAAAUUGCUAUCGUUGCCAGGGAGAGGGAGAACCCCUUUUUUUAAAAUAUUUUAAUUCCUUUGUACCAGAUAUAAUGUGCGCCAUAAAUAAUUUUUUGACACAAGUUAGAAGGGAGGGUAAUUGAUCAGUUGGUCAUCAUUUGACAAAGUUUGCUUAGUGAGAUUUCUUGUAAGCAAUCCCUUCUUCCUUUGGUUGGUUAGAUUAGCCAAAGAUGAUGUAGAAGCAAUUGCUCUAUUUUAUGCAAUACAUACACUGUUAUCGUUUGGCAAAAGAAAAAAAUAAUAAUAAAUGUUGCUUGAGGUUCAACUCAUUAACUUGGUAUUUAACUGUUUGAAUAAGAAUAAUUAUUUGAAUAAUCAGCAACUAAGAUUAAAUUAUUACACAAGAAAUUUUUAAAUAAGAAAAAAUUGGCUCCAAAAAAUGGAGUUUGACGAAGAUUCAAUGCUUGAACUAAGUUCAAUGAAAUUAGGGAAGAUCGGUGCUUGAUCGUAAAAACAAAAGUCAAAACUUUUGGCAUUUAUUUUAUUUUUACUAAUACUUCUCUAUUUUUUAGUUCACGUCAAUAUUUAUUAGCAAUAAAAUUGUAUCUAUGGUUGAAUUUUCUUUUGCCUAUUUGUGGUUUCUUUUAUUUGUCUUUUGUUUUCCUAUUGGUAUCGCGUUUGUUAUUCAUUAUUCCAAAGUUCUAAUUAUCACAUCUAAUGAAGAAAUUAGCAUUUUCUUAGUUGCUAUUUUAGAGUUAUACUAAGUAAUUGUAUACUAACAUUGAAGUGAUACUAAUCCCCUAUACGAAUACGAGAAAACAAAGAGUUGGAUUGCUAUAAGACGUUUUCACGAAGAGAAAUUAAACAAGAUUUGCUAAGUUGAUACUUAGCAGUUUUACAAAAUGCUAAUUGCAUAACAAGAUUAAUUUUGUAUUAAUUGUAUAGCGUAUGCUAAUACAAGGAAACUAAGAAUUAAAUUGAUAGAUGACAUGUUUUACAAAGAGAAAUUAAACGAGAUUCAUUAGUUGAUUCUUAAAAAUGGCAAUGAUAAACAUGCUGAUUUUAAAAUUAUGACUAUAUAUAUAUAUAUAAGUUAUUUGGGGGGGGGGGGGGGGGGCGGCUGCCCAUGCCCACGUCCCCUAAAUCCCAUCCCUAGUUAUGCCCAUAGCAGAGACAAAAUGAGUGGGCGCAUCUGCAUAGUUUUCCGAUCCUCCUUUUCCAUCAACUAACAGCUGCCGAGCACCGUGCAUGGAUGUGUCACUUGGGUCCCCAACCCUAAGGGCCAAGGCUGAUCUCCAUGUCGUUCGCGAUGGGCUCCGAUAUAUGUUCCACUCGAGCUCGAUCAAUAUCAAAUUUAAGUUGAGAUCGAGCUAAUGAAGUCGAGUUUGAAUUCAAACUUGAAUUCAAAAACAUUAAAUUCGUUAAUUCCUGAGUUCGAUUAUAUAUAUUUUUUAUUUUAAUAAUAAAAUUAUAUAUAUUUUUAAUAUUUUAUUAUUUAUUAAAAAAAUUAUUAUUUUAUUCAUUUUAAAAAAUAAAAUAAUUAUUUUUUUAAAAAAAUAAAAAAAUAAUUAUUUUUAUUUUUGUUUUUUAAACUGGAGCUCAAGCUCGAUAUUUUGGCCUCGUCGAGUUAGAGUGCGAGUUCGAGUUUUAUAAAAUUAAUUGAAGAUUCGAUUCGAUUAGAUCAAAAGUUGAUUCGACUCUACUCGUUUGCACCCUAACCAAGAGUACUGGUGCCAUGCAAUGCACGAGGGCCUCUUCUUCAGUUCUUCUAUAAAUACACCGCCAUACUCGUUCCUUGGGAUAUCACAUCGUACAAGCUAAUUCCUAGCAAGCAUACAAAACCUCAAUUACCUUAGGCUACUUACCCUCUAGCUAGCAAAUGCAAAACAUGGCUUCCUACAAUGUUAUUCACCUCGUCAUUUGGCUGACAUUCUUGUCACUUGUGCAGCUACCAAUGCCUUCCCAUUGUGCUGAUCCUGGUCCAUUGCAGGAUUUCUGUGUUGCGGAUUUGAACUCCCCGUUGCUUGUCAAUGGGUUUCCGUGCAAAAAACCAGAGAAUGUAACUUCCAACGACUUCUUCUUUGAUGGGCUGCAAAAACUGGGAACAGUGUUCGAUUUCCUUAAUGUGAACCUCACUGAAGUAGACGUCUUCGCAUUUCCAGCGCUGAACACCUUGGGGAUGUCCAUGAACCGAGUUCAAUUUCAUCCCGGAGGAGAAAACCCACCUCAUAUCCACCCUCGUGCUACCGAGUUGUCCCUGGUCACGGAGGGGAAACUGUUUGUGGGAUGGGUAUCAACUGCAUAUAUCCUGUACUGGAAAAUUCUGACCGCAGGACAAGUGUUCGUGAUUCCUCCAGGCUUAGUGCACUUUCAGCUUAAUGUUGGAAAGGGAAACGCACUAUUUUAUGCCUUCUUUAACAGUCAGAAUCCAGGGAUUUCGAAACUAGCCCCCGCACUCUUUGCUUCCACGCCUUUGAUUCCAGAUCCAGUGCUCACAACAGCAUUCAAUGUGAAUAAAACUAUCAUCGACCUCAUCAAGUCCAGGGCCUCUGUGCUGAUUCCAUAAGCUCCAAAUAAUUAAUUGCCGUUGCUUCUUAUCGUCUACCAAACAAGAAUGAUACUCUGAUCAUUCACCCUAAAGUCUGGUCUUUUCUUUGCAAUAUAUAAACCAUCUGCAGAUGGAUAAAAUAAAACAUCCGAGGAGUCAGAUGUUCGUAGUCAUGAAAUAAUCCUCGUCUCACCACAUGGAAAGUAUGGAUAAAUUUAUUGUGAAGUUUGUACCUUUUUUCUUUUUUCUUGAAGAUGGAAUGAGUGUGCUUUACAUCAAAUGGACAUGUGUUACUCUUAAUCUUCUUUGCAUGAGAGUUGAGACCUAACAAGUCAUUGCUAUAUAAACUAUCUAAAGGAUGCUAAUAUAUAUACAUUAAGGUAUAUUGAUACAUCGCGUUUGUAUAGCCGGUAAAUUACCCACGAAGUCCCUAAACUAGUACCAUUGACAAAUUUUUGCCUCUUAUCUAUUUCAAAUCUCAAAUUGGUCCUUCAAUAAUAAAAAUGUCAAACUUUGAUUCUUCGGUUAAUUUUUACGGUUAAAUCAGUCAAAAUUUGCCCUUGGAUCCAUCAAUUUUAACGGUAAAAUAAAUUAAAGGGUCAAAAUUUAAUACCUUCUGCUGUCAAAGGACCAAUUUGAAACUCGAAAUAGAUAAGGGCAGUGGCGGAUUUACACUGGGGGCAUGGGCCCCUACUGACUCCCUUAAAUUCCUAUGAUACCUAUAAAAAUUUGAUGUAAUUUCAAUUGUGCUCCCUGGAGUUUUGUAUAUAUAUAUAUUGGUUUAUAGGCCUCCACUGUCCCUCUUAAAUUUCAAUAAUACCUAUAAAAAUUUGAUGUAAUUUCAAGUGUGCCCUUUGGAGUUGUGUAUCUAUUGGUUUAUAUGCUUUUAAAGUUGUCUUUGAUUUUACCUGUUGUUACAGCUAUCGUAUAAAGGGUCUUUUCAAUAAUGAAUAUAGUGAAGAAUCGGUUACAAAAUAAAAUGGAAGACAUUUGGAUGAAUAAUUGUUUAGUUACUUAUAUUAAGAAAAAUAUACUUCGUGAAGUUCAAAAUGAAAAGAUUGUAAACCGUUAUCAAAAUAUGAAAACUCGUUAUGAGCAAUUGUAUAUGGUUUCGUUUGCUUUUGAAAUAAAAUUAUUAUUACAUUAAUAAUUUUGAGUUUGUUUUUUGAUAUUUUUCAUGAAAUAUAUGCAUCAUUUUGUACUUGCUGGCGAGUAUUUUUUUUCCUUAAAAAACUAAAAAAAGAGUAGGCAAAAAAUUUUAGAGUUGCUUUUACCCCUACUGAAAAUUUUUUCUAACUCCGCCCCCGAAUAAGGGAUCAAAAAUUGAUGAUUGAACAUAAAAAAUUUAACACUUCUUCAAGUUCCAACGUAGCAAGAGCGGACAUAGUCACAGUAUCGACUUGGCACAACUCUUAAAAAUACGUGUACCUGCGGGCGAAUGUGAUGAAUGACCUGCCAUAAUACAUAUGCUAUAUACUAUAUGCAUGGCUCCUGGUUUUUCCAAUGACUGGAGCUGGCUAUAGGUCAAAACUAUGUGAUAAGUAGAAAGUAAAUCAGAAAGGGAUGAAAACGUAUUACAACAUGUGUGUUAAAUCACGAGGAAAAUUUUAGAUUGUGACUCAGUGGAAUCAGUGAUAGAGCAACAUUUUUAAGAUUUUGAGUCACGGGGCAAACAGUUUAAAGAUUAUGACUGUGAAUCCGUGAUAAUUAAUGAGGUUUUGAUUGUGACAGAGCAACAGAUAUGGUAGGUACCAGUGGAAUUGAAACCAAUACUCUGAUAUGAUUAUUUUAAAUUUGACUAAUCAUUUUACCUUCGUUAAUAAAUUAAUAAAUGAAGACACGUGUCAUGCAUCCAAAUGUGCUUUGCGAGAAACGAAAAGAGAAUCUAUUGAAAAGAAACCAAAUCCACAAAAAGAAUUUAUGCGUACAAACAAAAAGAAACACGAAAAGGGAUUUACCAAAAAUAAGUAAGUAAAUAAAAGGAGCAGUACUAUAGGCAGAUAACUAACUUCCUACCAGUAUAAUUAAUCCUGAGGAAGUGAUCAGCCAUUUGGAUAGGAAGUGAAGUGAUGAUGGUCAUCUUGGACAUGAAUAGUAGUAUUAUUAUUGCUAUUAUCUAACUUGUAUAUAAGAAAAAGCCGAUUUACUGUAGCAACCCAACCCGUCUUGGACUUGGAGGCCUGGGAACGAAAGCACAUUCACCUGAGUGAGAAUCACUUCACUUUGAAAGAAUUGAAGAUUGCUCCCCUUAAUUUCCUUGAGACCAUCGCUGAAGAAGUCGUCUGAAGUUACAUGAGCAGGGUUUUUGCAGGGAAAGCCAUUUACGUGCAAAGCAGAUUUCAGAUCAGCAAUAAUGCAGAAAUCCUACAAUGGGAAGGCAAUGGCAUGGUAGCUAGCUAGCUAGCUAGCAGAACUGAUGACAAAACUGCACAGGACAAAAUCAGAUGAAUAUUAAUAUCGCAGGAAGAAGCCAUGCUAUAUGUGCUCAAAUUUGCUAAGGAAGCCACCGAAUGAUAUAUAGCCUCGUAGUUUGCCAGACAAAUUAGACUUAAAGUUGUGUGCUUAGGAGGGAAUGUAUUCAAAGAUCGAUCGAUAACCCUAAGGGCCAGCAAUCGAGCAGUAUGAUGUUUUGCUUGCCUGUGCAUGGGGAAGACACGACUAGUUCCUUGUUGACGGGAGUAUUAGUGAUUAAUUUGCUGCCAACCUACUCCGUAUGAUACAAAAUGACAAUGCUUAAAACGAAGGAAGCUUUUAGAAAGCUAUGUAGGGAAGGAAGUUAGAAAAGGUAUAAAAUGAAGAUAUAUUUCAGAGAUUAUUAGUUCAAAUUUCCUAACAGUACUGUGGCAAAUCGUACACCUAAUAUCCCUUAUUUUGAAUAGGUCUAUGACAUUCAGUACAAUUUUGAGUUAUAUCAUCGUAGAAGGUAUACACCACAUCCUGUGCCGCCACCAUAAAUCUUCCUUCUUCUUGAUGUAAAAAUUAUUUAAAGGGAAACCACCACCA
rnacentral:lncRNA from 1 species